CCUCUGCGCUCAGAAAGGUGCCAGUCAGUCCGCCUCUCCCACCCUCCAGCCUGUGACCCUGGCCAGCCCAGUUGUGCCAGGACAUGAAGAUGCAGAGAGACCAAAGAAAGCACUUGAAGGUAAGAGUCAUCCAGGUGGGGAAGAAGAGGAAGGCCUCAUGAGACCUGUGCUUUAUUGGAGAAAGCUUAUAGAGGUCAGUGACUGCCCCAAGAAGGGUUCAGUGGCGACAGGCUGAACUGGUAGCACCUCCAACCCUUAUGAUGCUUCCCCAAGCAGAGCUGCCAUUCCUCAUGGAGCUUUGCACAGGGAUAGCUGGUUGGAUGAAUGACACAUAUCCUCUCCACAGUGCUCCCAUUUCUACACCAGUCCCCAUUUUGAGAGGGGUUUUAUAUCUUAGGCUGCAGAAGCAGUGACAUUAGCAUUAACUUGCUUGGUUUGCUUGUAUGGCCAACAUCCGGAGCAGCCACUGUCCUGAUCUACAUGCAAGAAAGUAAUUUUCUGUAGAUAACACUGAUUUGCCUUGGUUCCCAAUGUGCACAAGAGAAAACCAGUGUCCUUCAAGAUAAUACGUAUCUGGACCUUCCAUCCCUGGCCUGCUCUCAUUGUUCCCUUCACUUGGCUAGGUUUUUGGGAACCAGAAGGAAUCAUUCAAGGACAUGGUGUCUUAACUGUCCUUCUGUAAGAAUGAUACCUAAGGUGAUUCUGAUGCCACUAGUCCUGGGACUAUAUUCAACUAUUGCUGCUCACAAGGUUCAUUACCCUUGCAAGUCCCUGAAAGCAGCAGAAAUGCAUAAUGACCUAAAUUGGCCACCAGAUGGCAGAAGCAUCCACAACUCAGGUCUCAGGACCCGCCCACUGUCUUGGGUCUAGGUUGACACUUCUGCUAUCCUUGCUCUGAAUGGUGACUGUGCUUAGGGCCACAGGGAUGAAAAAGACAGGGGUCAGACUCAGUCCCUGACCAUGAGGGGUUCAGGGCUUGGAAAGGGGAUAGAUGUAACUGGCAAUUACAACAGAUGCUGAGAGAGAAAAGCCCAGGGACUGGGGGAACCCAGAGGAGGCUGGAGGAAGUCAGGGCAGGCUUCCUGGAGGAGCUGAUAGCCACUGGUAAGAGACAUCCACGUGGGGAAGAAGAGGAAGGGCUGGCUGGGCAUAGGAAUAAGUAAGUCCUGAGAACAGGGGUGCCCCCGCAGUGGUGCUGGGUAGAGGAGAGAACCGAUGGGUAGAAUCAGGCCAGGCUGCCAGGAUCCAGAAGGGCCUUGACACCAAGCUGGAAGUGUGGGCAGAGAUUGAAGGGAGCCCGAGGAGGCUUUUAACUAGAUGGUAUGUUGGAAUGAUCCCUGGCCGCAGUGUGGAGGAGGAAAGAUGGGGACAGGAGGCUAGUCAACAAGGGUACAAUGGCCAUGUGAAGAGGUGGCCAGGUGACAGCCAUCUCUCAUCCAUUCAUUCUUCCAUCCACUUACUGCAGGCACACAUGGAACACCUUCUCAGAGCCAGACCUUUGGUCGUGCCAGACGCUGGGUCUUGGUGAUGAUGAAGAUGACAGACGACUCCCAGCUUAUGCGGGGAGUUUACCUUGUGUCAGGGAAGGCUGCCACCCAACAUCCAAUGGCACCAUGAGCCAGCCAGUUACAGCUGUGGUCUCUGAGAGGUGCUAAGGAAGCCACAUGGCAAGGUCUGGGCAGAGCUGGGGCUACGAUGGGGAGUAGAAGCCAUCUCCCAAGAGCACCCCUGACCUGGGCACCCCACCCAGCAAGCACAGUUGCCUCAUUCAGCAGACCCUGGCGCCCUCCCUGCUACAGCCCAGAGCUAACAAUAUGACCAUUGAGGGCUUCUACACCACCCCAGGUCCAGCUUUCCUGCCCUCAUCCUCCCUCAGCCACACAAUCCUGGCCUUCAGUGGGGAGGAUAGAGCAGGAUUAUACUCAGGUACCAGAGGCUGGGCCCAGUCCUCUACCAGAGCAGUCUGGCCUGGGCCCAGGUGAAUGCCCAGCCAGGCCCCUUCUUCAAACAUCCUGGGCUCUUCUAAGAUACAAAGAACCUGAUGCUAGAAGCAGGGGAAUGGAGGGGGUGACCUUGACUGCCAAGGGGAUGCCCUGUAGUGCUGUUGUGAUGCUCAGGGGUCCUGGAGCCCACCACAUUUGUCUGCAGAGGUGAGGUUGGCCUCACAGAUGAGUUGAUUAAAAUCAAGGUAACUGGAA